rnacentral:rRNA from 1 species
UACAGAGGAGCCAAGCGUUGUCCGGAUUGACUGGGCGUAAAGCGCACGCAGGCGGUCGCGCGCGUGGGGUGUGAAAUCUGGCCGCUUAACGGCCAGGCGCCAUCCCAUACGGCGCGACUGGAGUGAUGCAGAGGUCGGUGGAAUUGCCGGUGUAGUGGUGAAAUGCGUAGAUAUCUGGAGGAACACCGAUGGCGAAGGCAGCCCCCUGGGCUAACACUGACGCUCAGGCACGAAAGCGUGGGGAGCAAACAGG